CAUAUUAUCACUAGGUUGCCUCUCGAUGUCUCCCUCGAAUCUUGAUGUCUCCGUCCUGCGAUUUCGUCACGGUGGCGUUCCGUACUCCCCAAGAUUUCAAUCUUAAAGGAUAAAUCUUGAUCAUUCAAGAGUGGCAGCGACUAUUAUAAGGCAAACUGCCUCAACGAUCAAUAACAGAGAGGUGAUGUCACCACAAGGGAACACGUUGCACGAAGCUGAUGAUGUUGAGUAUGGGAUAGGUGUCCUUUACUGUAUAUGAGAGUGGAAAUUACAUAGUUGAUCAUAAACAGGAGACUAUAUUGACCAUUUAAUUUGAUUGGAAGACUGGUGGACCAAUGUGGCUAAGAAGAAGAGUUAAGUCGUAGUUACUGGCCUCUUUAAUUUGUAGUAUUGGUUUUCAAAUGUUAUUUUAGUGUGUUUGGUUUCACGAAAUUUUGAACAUGUAUGCCAUUUUUAUGUUCAAGAUCUAAAAAUAAGGAUUUGUCUGAUUUUUAAUGAAAAAAGAUGUAGUGUGUAAUUA